rnacentral:rRNA from 1 species
AGGGCGUAUAGUGGAUGCCUUGGCAUAUGAAGUCGAUGAAGGACGUGGUAAGCUGCGAUAAGCUUCGGGGAGGUGCAAACAACCGUUCACCCGGAGAUUUCCGAAUGGGACAACCCAAUCCAAGUAAUGUUGGAUUACUGCCAUCUGAAUAUAUAGGAUGGUAAGAGGUAACGCAGGGAAGUGAAACAUCUCAGUACCUGCAGGAAUAGAAAACAAUAGUGAUUCCCGGAGUAGCGGCGAGCGAAAUGGGAACAGCCUAAACUGAUACAAUGUCAUGUCUGCAACGUAGUUGUAUCAGGGUUGUGGGAAUUUGUCGGAAGGUUAGCAGGACCUUCGACGAGUCAAAAAAUAUUUUGUUAGGAGAAUGAAUCAGGAAAGUUUCAGCCAUAGAGGGUGAUAGCCCCGUAUCUGAAAACAAAAUAUCUCGUUGGACUUAUCUCCCAAGUAGGACGGGACACGUGAAAUCCCGUUUGAAUCUGCCGGGACCAUCCGGUAAGGCUAAAUACUCUCAUAUGACCGAUAGUGAAAUAGUACCGUGAGGGAAAGGUGAAAAGUACCCCUGGAGGGGAGUGAAAUAGAACCUGAAACUAUAUGUCUACAAGCUGUCGAAGUCCGUAAGGACGACGGCGUGCCUUUUGCAUAAUGAGCCAGCAAGUUACUCGUAUCUAGCAAGGUUAAGUGUAUAACACGGAGCCGUAGGGAAACCAAGUCUGAAUAGGGCGUUUAGUUAGAUGCGGUAGACGCGAAACCGAGUGAUCUUACCAUGGUCAGGUUGAAGCUCUAGUAAAAUAGAGUGGAGGACCGAACCGACUUGGGUUGAAAACCGAGCGGAUGAACUGUGGUAAGGGGUGAAAGGCCAAUCAAACUCGGUGAUAUCUCGUUCUCUCCGAAAUGCAUCUAGGUGCAGCGUUACGUGAGAGUAUCAUGGAGGUAGAGCACUGACUGGGCUAGGGCUCCUACAGGAGUACCAAACCCAAUCAAACUCCGAAUGCCAUUGAUAUGUUUCGUAGCAGUGAGGCAGUGGGUGAUAAGAUUCAUUGCCAAGAGGGAAACAACCCAGACCUACAGCUAAGGCCCCUAAAUUUAUACUAAGUGAUAAAGGUUGUGAAUUAGCACUGACAGCUAGGAGGUUGGCUUAGAAGCAGCCAUUCCUUUAAAGAAAGCGUAAUAGCUCACUAGUCAAGGUAAUUUGCGCCGAUAAUCUCCGGGACUCAAGUAUAAUGCCGAAGCUUAGGAUUCCUAUUUAUAGGAGUGGUAGGAGAGCGUUCCAUCAACUGUCGAAGGUUGACCCGUGAGGGCAGCUGGAGGAAAUGGAAAUGAGGAUGCUGGCAUGAGUACACGAUAAAAUACGUGAAAUUCGUAUUCACCAUAAGCCCAAGGUUUCCUGAUCAAUGUAAAUCAGAUCAGGGUUAGCCGGCCCCUAAGGCAAGGCCGAAAGGCGUAGUCGAUGGGAAUCAGGUUAUUUGAAUAUUCCUGAGCCUCCGAACCUUAAACCAAGAAAUCCAUUUCCCAGAACUAAUAUGCUUAUUGAUUUGUAUAUUAGUAGUAAGAAGUGGCAAGAAAAAGCUUGGUGUAUGCUAAGGAGACCGUACCGUAAACCGACACAGGUAGGCGAGGAGAGUAUCCUAAGGUGCUUGAGAGAAUUCUGGUCAAGGAACUCGGCAAAAUAGCCCCGUAACUUCGGGAGAAGGGGUGCCCACCUCUUGGUGGGCCGCAGUGAAAUGAGGGUAGCGACUGUUUACUAAAAACAUAGGUCUAUGCUAACACGUAAGUGGAAAUAUAUGGACUGACACCUGCCCGGUGCUGGAAGGUUAAGUGGAUCUGUUAUCUCCUUCGGGAGAGAAGCUCAGAAAUGUAUGGGGGCUGACACCUGCCCAGUGCCGGAAAAGUUUAAGGGAGGCUGGUUUAGCUUUUAGUGAAGCUGGCGCCUGAAGCCCCAGUGAAACGGCGGCGUAACAAUAACGGUCCUAAGGUAGCGAAAUUCCUUGUCGGGUAAGUUCCGACCUGCACGAAUGGCGUAACGAUCUCCCCGCUGUCUCAAACGUAACUAUAACGGUCCUAAGGUAGCGAAAUUCCUUGUCGGGUAAGUUCCGACCUGCACGAAUGGUGUAACGACUUCCCUACUGUCUCGACCAGAAACUCAGUGAAAUUGUAAUGUCGGUGAAGAUGCCGGCUAAUCGUAGAAGGACGGAAAGACCCCGUGCACCUUUACUACAGCUUGAUAUUGUCUUUUAAUCCUACAUGUGUAGGAUAGGUGGGAGGCUUUGAAGCGGGCACGCUAGUGUUCGUGGAGCCAUCCGUGAAAUACCACCCUUGUAUUAUUGAAAGUCUAACCAUGCGCCUUGAAUCAGGUGUUGGAACAGUGUCUGGUGGGUAGUUUGACUGGGGCGGUCUCCUCCCAAAAUGUAACGGAGGAGCUCAAUGGUCACCUCAGCACGGUCGGUAAUCGUGCGUAGAGUGCAAACGCAUAAGGUGGCUUGACUGCGAGACCGACAGGUCGAGCAGGUGCGAAAGCAGGAGUUAGUGAUCCGGCGGUCCCGUAUGGAAGGGCCGUCGCUAAUCGGAUAAAAGGUACGCCGGGGAUAACAGGCUUA